rnacentral:rRNA from 1 species
CGCGUAGGCGGACAGUUUAGUCAGAGGUGAAAGCCCAGGGCUCAACCUUGGAACUGCCUUUGAUACUGGCUGUCUUGAGUUCGGGAGAGGUGUGUGGAACUCCGAGUGUAGAGGUGAAAUUCGUAGAUAUUCGGAAGAACACCAGUGGCGAAGGCGACACACUGGCCCGAUACUGACGCUGAGGCGCAAAAGCGGUGGGGAGCAAACAGGAUUAGAUACCCUGGUAGUCCACGCUGUAAACGAUGAGUGCUAGUUGUCGGCAUGCAUGCAUGUCGGUGACGCAGCUAACGCAAUUAAGCACUCCGCCUGGGGAGUACGGUCGCAAGAUUAAA